rnacentral:rRNA from 1 species
GUGCUAUACAUGCAGUCGAGCGGACAGAUGGGAGCUUGCUCCCUGAUGUUAGCGGCGGACGGGUGAGUAACACGUGGGUAACCUGCCUGUAAGACUGGGAUAACUCCGGGAAACCGGGGCUAAUACCGGAUGGUUGUUUGAACCGCAUGGUUCAGACAUAAAAGGUGGCUUCGGCUACCACUUACAGAUGGACCCGCGGCGCAUUAGCUAGUUGGUGAGGUAACGGCUCACCAAGGCGACGAUGCGUAGCCGACCUGAGAGGGUGAUCGGCCACACUGGGACUGAGACACGGCCCAGACUCCUACGGGAGGCAGCAGUAGGGAAUCUUCCGCAAUGGACGAAAGUCUGACGGAGCAACGCCGCGUGAGUGAUGAAGGUUUUCGGAUCGUAAAGCUCUGUUGUUAGGGAAGAACAAGUGCCGUUCAAAUAGGGCGGCACCUUGACGGUACCUAACCAGAAAGCCACGGCUAACUACGUGCCAGCAGCCGCGGUAAUACGUAGGUGGCAAGCGUUGUCCGGAAUUAUUGGGCGUAAAGGGCUCGCAGGCGGUUUCUUAAGUCUGAUGUGAAAGCCCCCGGCUCAACCGGGGAGGGUCAUUGGAAACUGGGGAACUUGAGUGCAGAAGAGGAGAGUGGAAUUCCACGUGUAGCGGUGAAAUGCGUAGAGAUGUGGAGGAACACCAGUGGCGAAGGCGACUCUCUGGUCUGUAACUGACGCUGAGGAGCGAAAGCGUGGGGAGCGAACAGGAUUAGAUACCCUGGUAGUCCACGCCGUAAACGAUGAGUGCUAAGUGUUAGGGGGUUUCCGCCCCUUAGUGCUGCAGCUAACGCAUUAAGCACUCCGCCUGGGGAGUACGGUCGCAAGACUGAAACUCAAAGGAAUUGACGGGGGCCCGCACAAGCGGUGGAGCAUGUGGUUUAAUUCGAAGCAACGCGAAGAACCUUACCAGGUCUUGACAUCCUCUGACAAUCCUAGAGAUAGGACGUCCCCUUCGGGGGCAGAGUGACAGGUGGUGCAUGGUUGUCGUCAGCUCGUGUCGUGAGAUGUUGGGUUAAGUCCCGCAACGAGCGCAACCCUUGAUCUUAGUUGCCAGCAUUCAGUUGGGCACUCUAAGGUGACUGCCGGUGACAAACCGGAGGAAGGUGGGGAUGACGUCAAAUCAUCAUGCCCCUUAUGACCUGGGCUACACACGUGCUACAAUGCGACAGAACAAAGGGCAGCGAAACCGCGAGGUUAAGCCAAUCCCACAAAUCUGUUCUCAGUUCGGAUCGCAGUCUGCAACUCGACUGCGUGAAGCUGGAAUCGCUAGUAAUCGCGGAUCAGCAUGCCGCGGUGAAUACGUUCCGGGCCUUGUACACACCGCCCGUCACACCACGAGAGUUUGUAACACCCGAAGUCGGUGAGGUAACCUUUAGGAGCCAGCCGCCGAAG